GGGCCAGUGGCGCAAUGGACAACGCGCCUGACUACGGAUCAGGAGAUUGCAGGUUCAACUCCUGCCUGGCUCGC